rnacentral:rRNA from 1 species
GAUGAACGCUGACAGAAUGCUUAACACAUGCAAGUCAACUUGAAUUUGGGUUUUUAACUUCGGUUUGGGUGGCGGACGGGUGAGUAACGCGUAAAGAACUUGCCUCACAGCUAGGGACAACAUUUGGAAACGAAUGCUAAUACCUAAUAUUAUGAUAAUAGGGCAUCCUAUAAUUAUGAAAGCUAUAAGCGCUGUGAGAGAGCUUUGCGUCCCAUUAGCUAGUUGGAGAGGUAACGGCUCACCAAGGCGAUGAUGGGUAGCCGGCCUGAGAGGGUGAUCGGCCACAAGGGGACUGAGACACGGCCCUUACUCCUACGGGAGGCAGCAGUGGGGAAUAUUGGACAAUGGACCGAGAGUCUGAUCCAGCAAUUCUGUGUGCACGAUGAAGUUUUUCGGAAUGUAAAGUGCUUUCAGUUGGGAAGAAACAAAUAACGGUACCAACAGAAGAAGUGACGGCUAAAUACGUG